rnacentral:rRNA from 1 species
CUACGGGUGGCAGCAGUGAGGAAUAUUGCACAAUGGGGGGAACCCUGAUGCAGCAACGCCGCGUGGAGGAUGACGCAUUUCGGUGUGUAAACUCCUUUUAUAUGUCGAGAAAAUGACGGUAGCAUAUGAAUAAGCACCGGCUAACUCCGUGCCAGCAGCCGCGGUAAUACGGAGGGUGCAAGCGUUACUCGGAAUCACUGGGCGUAAAGGACGCGUAGGCGGGUUGGAAAGUCAGGUGUGAAAUCCUACAGCUUAACUGUAGAACUGCACUUGAAACUUCUAAUCUAGAGUAUGGGAGAGGGAGAUGGAAUUAGUGGUGUAGGGGUAAAAUCCGUAGAUAUCACUAGGAAUACCUAAGGCGAAGGCGAUCUCCUGGAACAUUACUGACGCUAAGGCGUGAAAGCGUGGGGAGCAAACAGGAUUAGAUACCCCGGUAGUC